AUUUCUUGAUGGGGACACUUCCUCAAAAAUUCUUUAAACCUUUCCCAUGCACCAUAUAAUGAUUCCUCAUUAGUCUAGAAGAAGUUAUUUAUCUUUUCUCUCAAUCU